rnacentral:rRNA from 1 species
UACGAAGGGGGCUAGCGUUGUUCGGAUUUACUGGGCGUAAAGCGCACGUAGGCGGAUUGUUAAGUCAGGGGUGAAAUCCCGGAGCUCAACUCCGGAACUGCCUUUGAUACUGGCAAUCUUGAGGCUGGAAGAGGUUAGUGGAAUUCCGAGUGUAGAGGUGAAAUUCGUAGAUAUUCGGAGGAACACCAGUGGCGAAGGCGGCUCACUGGUCCGGUACUGACGCUGAGGUGCGAAAGCGUGGGGAGCAAACAGG